rnacentral:rRNA from 1 species
GCUUAACGCGAAGAACCUUACCUGGUCUUGACAUCCAGAGAAUCCUGCAGAGAUGCGGGAGUGCUUUCGGGAACUCUGAGACAGGUGCUGCAUGGCUGUCGUCAGCUCGUGUCGUGAGAUGUUGGGUUAAGUCCCGUAACGAGCGCAACCCUUGUCCUUAUUUGCCAUCAUUUAGUUGGGCACUCUAAGGAGACUGCCGGUGACAAACCGGAGGAAGGUGGGGACGACGGUCAAGUCAUCAUGGCCCUUACGACCAGGGCUACACACGUGCUACAAUGGGCGGCACAAAGGGUUGCAAGACCGCGAGGUGGAGCUAAUCCCAUAAAACCGUUCGUAGUCCGGAUUGGAGUCUGCAACUCGACUCCAUGAAGUCGGAAUCGCUAGUAAUCGUAAAUCAGCAUGUUACGGUGAAUACGUUCCCGGGUCUUGUACACACCG